UGCUCAGUGACUCGUAAGAUGAGUGAAGCUGUCGAGGCAAGUGUGAGUCAACCAGUGCUGCGGUGACCGCUCUAGGGAGAGGUACUGUGCUCCUCGACGCCAUUGUAACCACCCCCAUGUGCCGUGGAAGCCUAAAUUUAUAGAAAUCCUGAAAAGAACCACACUGGCACGGUUUUGACAAUUUGUUAAACUCCAGUUGGGCCACGCAGGCUCCCAACAUUACUGGUCCAAGUCCUGCAGACUUAUCCAGUAUCCUGGAGGAAAGUCUUAAUGAGGCCUUAAUCCAGUUUCAGUCAUGGGAGAGGUUGAUAAACCUUUUGGAUGUCCCCAGCCUGGCUGUGGUAUGAGCUUUACCAAUGAGGAUCAUCUAACUGUGCAUCGUCGACGUCAUGAGAUGCAGCUCACAGUCAAUGGAGAGCAUCAUACAUCAUCUCUAGUCAAGCAUCAUGGAUUCAUUAUUGAUCAGACACCAACUCCAACGAGGUUCUUGCGACAGUGUGAAGAAGUGGGACUUUUCCAGGAAAUAAGUCUAAAUCCAUUUGAUGAGCAAUUUAGAAGAGCAUCACUUCUUAGAUCACACCACUCAAUCACUGAGGCAGUGGGUGGUCAUACAGGGGAAAGCCUCGACACACCUAGAGUGCUGCCUCCUGUAGAUUCUGAUGAAACUAUUUCCUCCACAUCCCGAGAUGAUGUGUCUAUUGCAUCCACUACAGCAAACUCAACAGCCACCCUCACCACCUGCAGUAUAUCUGUGCCAUCUCAUCCACAAAAUAUACCAACCAGUUGCACUCGACCUCACUCAUCACUAAGAGUAAUAGAAGUUGAGGGGGAAGCUGAUAAAAGUGAACGAGUACCAAGACGUCUGUCUCUAAAUGUGUGCUCAGCAGCAGAUGCAGGACAACAAACAAGCUCUGUGAUAUCAACACCUACACCUGUCAUCACUGCUGGGCCAUCUGUGACACAGUCCUUGGGCAUGGUAGAUGUUGGUGUGGCUAGUGGUAGUGUGAGGGUCAGCGGGGUGUCACACACUUCUCUCCAGCAGCCAGCCCUCUGUGCAGCACCCAGCAGUGUACCUCCAUCUCCAAGUGCCACAGUCCUUCAGCUUCUUCUCAGAUUACCUAAUGGUCAAGCAAUCCCAGUCGAGAUUCCUGCAACUCCAGUGGUAUCUUCAUCCAGUACAAAUGGAACCACAAGUAGCACAGUCUCAACUACUGCUGGCUCACCACCUCAUUCACUGGAAACUAGAUCUCCUCAACAGUCCCUAGCAAAAAUGAAAUUAAAGCAAGCGUUGGCUUCAAGUAGUACAGCAGCACGGCCAGGCUGCAGUAAAAUAUCACGAGCCAAUACUGCAGACCGCAUCGCUGAAAUGACCCGAACACGUAAUUUUAGUGGUACCAGUAGUACUGAGGGUGAAGGGGAAGAUGAUAUCUCGGGUGGAAAUUGUAACUUCGUGAAAGGGGAAAGAAAACGACGUCACUCUUCUGAUAAUGAGGACCCUGCUGAAAAACGCAAAAAAUUCCUUGAAAGAAACAGAGCAGCUGCCAUAAGAUGUAGAGAGAAGAAGAAAAAAUGGAUUGAAAACUUGUCCAUAAAAUAUGAUGAACUGGGAUCAAUCAAUCAAAAACUACAGACUGAAGUGUCAUCUCUACGUUCUGAAGUUGCUGUUCUUAAGUCAAUGCUUUUGCAGCACAAAGACUGUCCUGUAACUCUGGCCAUGCAAGAUGGCAGCCUAGAAAAUAUGAACUGCAGUAGUGACCUGACACCUUUACCCUCAAUCCUGGCACCUCUGACAGAUGGUGCUCAUGUUUCUUGCCAACCUCCACACAAACCCCGCAUCCGUUCACUUUCUUUACCAUCGAUACCAUCAUCUAGCACCAUGGAGCCUCUACCUGUGAAUUUAUCAUGCACUUUGUGUGCUGCCCCGCCAACAAGUACAGGGGUAACUCCCAUAUCUUCAUCAACCAAGGCUUCUUUGGGUUUGAUUCCAUGGUGGUGUCCACUCCAUGUCAUUCAUACGCAUCUUGUCUGGGCUGGAGCUUGAUCACCACACCAGUCUCCAGCCAGGUUUGAUUUUAUGUCUUCAUUCCAAAUGAUUUCCAGUGGACUCUGAUGAUAACUUCACAUGUAUAUUGUGGGUGCUGUGCCAGCAGUAUCUCCUGCUGGAGGUGGGGCAGUGACCAUGAACCCAGUCAACCUGACUAAUAGCUUCAUAACAGCUGGUCAGUAUUCUUCUGGCCUCAACACCACCACCACCAGCAGUACCCGACUCUCUC
rnacentral:misc_RNA from 1 species